rnacentral:rRNA from 1 species
UACGGAGGAUGCAAGCGUUAUCCGGAAUGAUUGGGCGUAAAGCGUCCGCAGGUGGCUAUGUAAGUCUGCUGUUAAAGAGCAAAGCUUAACUUUGUAAAAGCAGUGGAAACUACAUAGCUAGAGUACGGUCGGGGUAGAAGGAAUUCCUGGUGUAGCGGUGAAAUGCGUAGAGAUCAGGAAGAACACCGGUGGCGAAAGCGUUCUGCUAGGCCUGUACUGACACUGAGGGACGAAAGCUAGGGGAGCGAAUGGG